GUGAAUACGUUCCCGGGUCUUGUACACACCGCCCGUCACACCACGAGAGUUUGUAACACCCGAAGCCGGUGGAGUAACCAUUUGGAGCUAGCCGUCGAAGGUGGGACAAAUGAUUGGGGUGAAGUCGUAACAAGGUAGCCGUAUCGGAAGGUGCGGCUGGAUCACCUCCUUUCUAAGGA
rnacentral:rRNA from 1 species